CUGGCCUUCCCCCACCCACCAAAUUAUUCUUAAAAAUCCUGAUCCCUGAAUGCUCAGGGAGACUGAUUUGAGUAAUAAUAAAACUACUGUCUCCCACACAGCCGGCUCUGCAUGAAUUGCUCUUUAUUGCAAUUCCCCUGUCUUGAGAAAUCGCUUCUGUCUAGGCAGCGGGCAAGGUGAGCCCAUUGGGCAGUUACAAGGAGACACGGAGACACAGAGACACAAAGACAGACACACAAAAAAGAGACUGUCAUGUGAAAAGACAGACACACAGAGAGAACAUCGUAAGAAGACAGAGGAGGAGAUUGGAGAGAAGCAACUGUAAGCCAAGGAACACCAAAGACUGCAGGAAACCCCAAAAACUAGGAACAGGGCAUGGAACAGAUUCUACCCAUAUUCUCAGGAAGAGUCCCUGCCAACACCUGGAAUUCAAGCUUCUGGAUUCCAGAUCUAAAAAACCUGGGCUUAGAUAAUGAUUACGCCAAACCACUGGAUUCAAGAAAAAGCUCGUCAUGCCCAACUAUUGCAUGACAGUAUGUGAGAGCCAACCGACUAAAGAUAUUUUAGGAGAAUAAAAUAUUUGGAGAGCAUUGGAGUAAGGACUGUCAUUCCUGGAAUGGAAGCAUUUAAUUAAAAUGACCAUAAGCCUGAAGUGACUGGGGCAUGGGAAUAUCCUUGAUGAGAAGAUAGUGAAGCAUGUAACACCCUGGGAUAGAUGGUGCUGAUGGAACAUUUUGAGGAGACCCAAGUUGUUGGUGGAGGUGAUGGGAGACUCAGGACAACAGAAAGUAUGGGAUUUUCAAUGCUGCAGAAAUGGGGCUGAUAUGGUUUGGCUCUGUCCCCACCCAAAUAUCACCUUGAACUGUAGCUCCCAUAAUUCCCAUGUGUGGUGGGAGGGACCCAGUGGGAGGUAAUUGAAUCAUGGGGGCUGGUUUCUCCCAUGCUAUUCUCAUGAUAGUGAGUAAGUCUCACGAGAUCUGAUGGUUUUAUAAAGGGGAGUUUCCCUACACAAAUUCUGUCUUGCCUGCUGCCAUGUAAGACGUGACUUUGCUCCUUAUUCACCUUCUGCUGCGAUUGUGAUGCCACCCCCAGCCAUGAGUGAGCCAAACUCACUGUUACUGUGAGUCAAUUAAACCUCUUUCCUUUAUAAAUUACUCAGUCUCAGAUAUGUCUUUAUUAGUAGCAUGAGAACGGACUAAUACAGGGGCUCUGUUCUGACUAGGACAGAAAUUUAACACUUGGCAUCACAGAAUGGCCCCAACCUGAGCUAGCAGUGGGUGAAUGGUCAGCUCACAGUACAAGCUGCUUUUGGUAAACGUCUUGCAGACUGCAACCAGCCUAAAGCUAAAAUCACAGUAAAUAAGCAUGAGCGGAUAUAAAAGAGAGAUGAUAGAUUUGUGAUUUGUUGACAUAACCACCAGGACAUCUGUAUCACAAGUGAAAAUUAUAGCCUGAUUCCCAGAUGCUGACCGCCAUGCAGGGAAAGGCCUAGCAAUGCAGUGAAUUCCUAAUUCAUUUAUUAGCUUUGAUGACUUUUCAUGGACUGGGAAGGAAAUCCCUAAAACAUAUGGAUCUUAUAUCCUCUUGUGAAGAAUGUUGGUUUCACAAGGCAGAAGGAAAAGAAAGAGCUAGUAGGAGAGCAACAUAUGAGGUGGCUUCUUUCUCUUAUAUGAAAUUUGUGGAUAUUAUUUUCAACUAAGACCUAGAAUCUGCA
rnacentral:lncRNA from 1 species